AGUGAACGCUGGCGGUAGGCCUAACACAUGCGAGUCGAACGGCAGCACAGUAAGAGCUUGCUCUUACGGGUGGCGAGUGGCGGACGGGUGAGGAAUACAUCGGAAUCUACUUUUUCGUGGGGGAUAACGUAGGGAAACUUACGCUCAUACCGCAUACGACCUACGGGUGAAAGCAGGGGAUCUUCGGACCUUGCGCGAUUGAAUGAGCCGAUGUCGGAUUAGCUAGUUGGCGGGGUAAAGGCCCACCAAGGCGACGAUCCGUAGCUGGUCUGAGAGGAUGAUCAGCCACACUGGAACUGAGACACGGUCCAGACUCCUACGGGAGGCAGCAGUGGGGAAUAUUGGACAAUGGGCGCAAGCCUGAUCCAGCCAUACCGCGUGGGUGAAGAAGGCCUUCGGGUUGUAAAGCCCUUUUGUUGGGAAAGAAAAGCAGCAGGUUAAUACCCCGCUGUUCUGACGGUACCCAAAGAAUAAGCACCGGCUAACUUCGUG
rnacentral:rRNA from 1 species